rnacentral:lncRNA from 1 species
GAUGCAAGCAGGCGAGCAAGUCGAUGACCACCUGCACAGCCCACCCAGAGUGUGACAAACAAUGCAAAGGAGAGAAAGCAAAGAUGGGACUUUGCCGUGCUGAUGGUCCCAAAGGCAAAAAGUGCUGGUGCUACAUGUGUUAACAUGAAUGGGGAUUUUGUAUAACUUUCUCAACAAUAAAAUAGUUCUAAAUUUUUUUAGAGAAAUUAAAACAUCUCUCUCUCUCUCUCUC